rnacentral:rRNA from 1 species
AUUGAACGCUGGCGGCAGGCUUAACACAUGCAAGUCGAGCGGAGAUGAGGUGCUUGCACCUUAUCUUAGCGGCGGACGGGUGAGUAAUGCUUAGGAAUCUGCCAUUUAGUGGGGGACAACAUUCCGAAAGGAAUGCUAAUACCGCAUACGUCCUACGGGAGAAAGCAGGGGAUCUUCGGACCUUGCGCUAGUAGAUGAGCCUAAGUCGGAUUAGCUAGUUGGUGGGGUAAAGGCCUACCAAGGCGACGAUCUGUAGCGGGUCUGAGAGGAUGAUCCGCCACACUGGGACUGAGACACGGCCCAGACUCCUACGGGAGGCAGCAGUGGGGAAUAUUGGACAAUGGGCGGAAGCCUGAUCCAGCCAUGCCGCGUGUGUGAAGAAGGCCUUUUGGUUGUAAAGCACUUUAAGCGAGGAGGAGGCUACCUGGAUUAAUACUCUGGGAUAGUGGACGUUACUCGCAGAAUAAGCACCGGCUAACUCUGUGCCAGCAGCCGCGGUAAUACAGAGGGUGCGAGCGUUAAUCGGAUUUACUGGGCGUAAAGCGUGCGUAGGCGGCUGAUUAAGUCGGAUGUGAAAUCCCUGAGCUUAACUUAGGAAUUGCAUUCGAUACUGGUCAGCUAGAGUAUGGGAGAGGAUGGUAGAAUUCCAGGUGUAGCGGUGAAAUGCGUAGAGAUCUGGAGGAAUACCGAUGGCGAAGGCAGCCAUCUGGCCUAAUACUGACGCUGAGGUACGAAAGCAUGGGGAGCAAACAGGAUUAGAUACCCUGGUAGUCCAUGCCGUAAACGAUGUCUACUAGCCGUUGGGGCCUUUGAGGCUUUAGUGGCGCAGCUAACGCGAUAAGUAGACCGCCUGGGGAGUACGGUCGCAAGACUAAAACUCAAAUGAAUUGACGGGGGCCCGCACAAGCGGUGGAGCAUGUGGUUUAAUUCGAUGCAACGCGAAGAACCUUACCUGGCCUUGACAUACUAGAAACUUUCCAGAGAUGGAUUGGUGCCUUCGGGAAUCUAGAUACAGGUGCUGCAUGGCUGUCGUCAGCUCGCGUCGUGAGAUGUUGGGUUAAGUCCCGCAACGAGCGCAACCCUUUUCCUUACUUGCCAGCAUUUCGGAUGGGAACUUUAAGGAUACUGCCAGUGACAAACUGGAGGAAGGCGGGGACGACGUCAAGUCAUCAUGGCCCUUACGGCCAGGGCUACACACGUGCUACAAUGGUCGGUACAAAGGGUUGCUACCUAGCGAUAGGAUGCUAAUCUCAAAAAGCCGAUCGUAGUCCGGAUUGGAGUCUGCAACUCGACUCCAUGAAGUCGGAAUCGCUAGUAAUCGCGGAUCAGAAUGCCGCGGUGAAUACGUUCCCGGGCCU